rnacentral:rRNA from 3 species
AAAUUGAAGAGUUUGAUCAUGGCUCAGAUUGAACGCUGGCGGCAGGCCUAACACAUGCAAGUCGAACGGUAACAGGAAGCAGCUUGCUGCUUUGCUGACGAGUGGCGGACGGGUGAGUAAUGUCUGGGAAACUGCCUGAUGGAGGGGGAUAACUACUGGAAACGGUGGCUAAUACCGCAUAAUGUCGCAAGACCAAAGAGGGGGACCUUCGGGCCUCUUGCCAUCAGAUGUGCCCAGAUGGGAUUAGCUUGUUGGUGAGGUAACGGCUCACCAAGGCGACGAUCCCUAGCUGGUCUGAGAGGAUGACCAGCCACACUGGAACUGAGACACGGUCCAGACUCCUACGGGAGGCAGCAGUGGGGAAUAUUGCACAAUGGGCGCAAGCCUGAUGCAGCCAUGCCGCGUGUAUGAAGAAGGCCUUCGGGUUGUAAAGUACUUUCAGCGGGGAGGAAGGUGUUGCGGUUAAUAACC